rnacentral:rRNA from 1 species
UACGGGGGGGGGCAAGCGUUUGUUCGGAAUUACUGGGCGUAAAGGGCUCGUAGGCGGCCAACUAAGUCAGACGUGAAAUCCCCAGGCUCAACCUGGGAACUGCGUCUGAUACUGGAUGGCUUGAAUCCGGGAGAGGGAUGCAGAAUUCCAGGUGUAGCGGUGAAAAUGCGUAGAUAUCUGGAGGAAUACCGGUGGCGAAGGCGGCAUCCUGGACCGGCAUUGACGCUGAGGAGCGAAAAGCCAGGGGAGCAAACGGG